rnacentral:rRNA from 1 species
UACGAAGGGUGCAAGCGUUACUCGGAAUUACUGGGCGUAAAGCGCGCGUAGGUGGUGUGUUAAGUCUGUCGUGAAAGCCCCGGGCUCAACCUGGGAAUGGCGAUGGAUACUGGCUCGCUAGAGUGCGGUAGAGGAGAGUGGAAUUCCCGGUGUAGCAGUGAAAUGCGUAGAGAUCGGGAGGAACAUCAGUUGCGAAGGCGGCUCUCUGGGCCAGCACUGACACUGAGGCACGAAAGCGUGGGGAGCAAACAGG